rnacentral:rRNA from 1 species
AGCGAACGCUGGCGGCAGGCCUAACACAUGCAAGUCGAACGGAUCCUUCGGGAUUAGUGGCGGACGGGUGAGUAACACGUGGGAACGUGCCCUUUGGUUCGGAACAACUCAGGGAAACUUGAGCUAAUACCGGAUGUGCCCUUCGGGGGAAAGAUUUAUCGCCAUUGGAGCGGCCCGCGUCUGAUUAGCUAGUUGGUGAGGUAACGGCCCACCAAGGCGACGAUCAGUAGCUGGUCUGAGAGGAUGAUCAGCCACACUGGGACUGAGACACGGCCCAGACUCCUACGGGAGGCAGCAGUGGGGAAUCUUGCGCAAUGGGCGAAAGCCUGACGCAGCCAUGCCGCGUGAAUGAUGAAGGUCUUAGGAUUGUAAAAUUCUUUCAGCGGGGACGAUAAUGGCGGUACCCGCAGAAGAAGCUCCGGCUAACUUCGUG